rfam:Eucalyptus grandis cultivar BRASTZ1 unplaced genomic scaffold scaffold_9, whole genome shotgun sequence.
GGCUAGGUAACAUAAUGGAAAUGUAUCAGACUGCAAAUCCUGGAAUGACGGUUCGACCCCGUCCUUGGCCU